rnacentral:rRNA from 1 species
CGCUGGCGGCAGGCCUAACACAUGCAAGUCGAGCGGCAGCGACAACAUUGAACCUUCGGGGGAUUUGUUGGGCGGCGAGCGGCGGACGGGUGAGUAAUGCCUGGGAAAUUGCCCUGAUGUGGGGGAUAACCAUUGGAAACGAUGGCUAAUACCGCAUGAUAGCUUCGGCUCAAAGAGGGGGACCUUCGGGCCUCUCGCGUCAGGAUAUGCCCAGGUGGGAUUAGCUAGUUGGUGAGGUAAGGGCUCACCAAGGCGACGAUCCCUAGCUGGUCUGAGAGGAUGAUCAGCCACACUGGAACUGAGACACGGUCCAGACUCCUACGGGAGGCAGCAGUGGGGAAUAUUGCACAAUGGGCGCAAGCCUGAUGCAGCCAUGCCGCGUGUAUGAAGAAGGCCUUCGGGUUGUAAAGUACUUUCAGCAGUGAGGAAGGGGAUAUCGUUAAUAGCGGUAUUCUUUGACGUUAGCUGCAGAAGAAGCACCGGCUAACUCCGUGCCAGCAGCCGCGGUAAUACGGAGGGUGCGAGCGUUAAUCGGAAUUACUGGGCGUAAAGCGCAUGCAGGUGGUUUGUUAAGUCAGAUGUGAAAGCCCGGGGCUCAACCUCGGAAUUGCAUUUGAAACUGGCAGGCUAGAGUACUGUAGAGGGGGGUAGAAUUUCAGGUGUAGCGGUGAAAUGCGUAGAGAUCUGAAGGAAUACCGGUGGCGAAGGCGGCCCCCUGGACAGAUACUGACACUCAGAUGCGAAAGCGUGGGGAGCAAACAGGAUUAGAUACCCUGGUAGUCCACGCCGUAAACGAUGUCUACUUGGAGGUUGUGGCCUUGAGCCGUGGCUUUCGGAGCUAACGCGUUAAGUAGACCGCCUGGGGAGUACGGUCGCAAGAUUAAAACUCAAAUGAAUUGACGGGGGCCCGCACAAGCGGUGGAGCAUGUGGUUUAAUUCGAUGCAACGCGAAGAACCUUACCUACUCUUGACAUCCAGAGAACUUAGCAGAGAUGCUUUGGUGCCUUCGGGAACUCUGAGACAGGUGCUGCAUGGCUGUCGUCAGCUCGUGUUGUGAAAUGUUGG